GACGAACGCUGGCGGCGUGCUUAACACAUGCAAGUCGAACGAAGAGCGAUGGAAGCUUGCUUCUAUCAAUCUUAGUGGCGAACGGGAGAGUAACGCGUAAUCAACCUGGCCUUCAGAGGGGGACAACAGUUGGAAACGACUGCUAAUACCGCAUACGAUCUAAUCUCGGCAUCGAGGAUAGAUGAAAGGUGGCCUCUACAUGUAAGCUAUCACUGAAGGAGGGGAUUGCGUCUGAUUAGCUAGUUGGAGGGGUAACGGCCCACCAAGGCGAUGAUCAGUAGCCGGGCUGAGGGGAUGAACGGCCCCAUUGGGAAUGAGACACGGCCCAGACUCCCACGGGAGGCAGCAGUGGGGAAUCUUCCGCAAUGGACGAAAGGCUGACGGCGCAACGCCGCGUGAGUGAUGACGGCCUUCGGGUUGUAAAGCUCUGUUAAUCGGGACGAAAGGGCUUCUUGCGAAUAGUGAGAAGGAUUGACGGUACCGGAAUAGAAAGCCACGGCUAACUACGUG
rnacentral:rRNA from 1 species